rnacentral:lncRNA from 1 species
AUGGGAGCUUCGUGUGGAUGAUUCGCAGAGGCCAGACACUAGUGUGGCUACGAUGUGACGAUCAGAGCCCCCGAUGAUGAUCAGAUUAUGGUGAUCGACUACCCACAAAAGGUGAUGUGUUCUGAACACAGUACAGUAAAAAGUUUACUAUUUCAAAUUUGAAUUUCAAAUUUAAAUACAUGCUGUUGUAUCAUAUUUAGAUCCUAG